UACGUAGGGGGCGAGCGUUGUCCGGAUUUAUUGGGCGUAAAGAGCUCGUAGGCGGCUUGGCAAGUCGGGUGUGAAACCUCCAGGCUCAACCUGGAGACGCCACUCGAUACUGCCAUGGCUAGAGUCCGGUAGGGGACCACGGAAUUCCUGGUGUAGCGGUGAAAUGCGUAGAUAUCGGGAGGAACACCUGUGGCGAAAGCGGCGCACUGGACCACAACUGACGCUGAGGCGCGAAAGCUAGGGGGGCAAACAGG
rnacentral:rRNA from 1 species